AUUGAACGCUGGCGGCAGGCCUAACACAUGCAAGUCGAACGGCAGCACAGGAGAGCUUGCUCUCUGGGUGGCGAGUGGCGGACGGGUGAGGAAUACAUCGGAAUCUACCUUUUCGUGGGGGAUAACGUAGGGAAACUUACGCUAAUACCGCAUACGACCUACGGGUGAAAGUGGGGGACCGCAAGGCCUCACGCGAUUAGAUGAGCCGAUGUCCGAGUAGCUAGUUGGCGGGGUAAUGGCCCACCAAGGCGACGAUCGGUAGCUGGUCUGAGAGGAUGAUCAGCCACACUGGAACUGAGACACGGUCCAGACUCCUACGGGAGGCAGCAGUGGGGAAUAUUGGACAAUGGGCGCAAGCCUGAUCCAGCCAUACCGCGUGGGUGAAGAAGGCCUUCGGGUCGUAAAGCCCUUUUGUUGGGAAAGAAAUCCUGUCGAUUAAUACUCGGUGGGGAUGACGGUACCCAAAGAAUAAGCACCGGCUAACUUCGUGCCAGCAGCCGCGGUAAAAC
rnacentral:rRNA from 1 species